GCAACAAGAACUCAACAACAAGUUGAAUCAGAUCGUAUAAUGCAGAGGUAGAAGGGGUGGAUCAUAAAUCGCCCCCACCCUCUCAAACCCCCCCACCAAACUUGCAGGGUUCGCGCCGCACUUUCCAUUCGCUCUCGCGCGCAGGCAGCCCUGUGAUGAAGUUCUGCUCUUCCCUCACACCUUCUCAUCCUGUGGAUGGAAUAAGAUGCUUUCAAACGACGAUGCCCCGUGCAUCUCCAGCAAACAAGUAUGGAAGGAUUUCGUGGAUGUGAUUUCUAAUCGAGGAUGUUCGUUUAUCAAUUUCACAUCCAGAUGAGCGGGUAUCUGUGCCAUGAGGAGUCCAAGCAGAAUAGGCAGCUGGAGCUCGGAGUCGCCCGCAGGAGGAAGUGGAGGCAGCGCUGCCUCAUGAGGCUGAUGCAACAUGAGGGAUGGAAGACAAAUGAAGGAUGCUAAAGGAAUCAUGGGAGAGAUGUGAUCUGGAUUCUUUCAUGUCACUUCAGUGAUGGUGAAACUAACAUCAAUCAGAGCAGAAGAUGGUUCAAUCAAAUGGAGGCCCUUGUUAGACGAGGUGCCGCUGAAAUGAAUUAACGUGAUUCACAAUCUACUCCACAGCCUGCAGGUGAGGAGAACCAUCAUGUCUCUUCAUAAUGACUGUGCCUGUCCAAUCAGUGUUUCUGAAUGCACUGCUUAUGUUUAUUCUCAUUAAACUCUAAACAAGCCAAUAAUGUUCAAAUAACCAGCAGAAGUUAACAAUGCACUUCCAGUAAUUAGCUUACUUCUCUUAUAAAUGGAGAAGCCAGCAGUGAGCAGCACAUUAGCCGUCUCUGGAGAAAUCUGUGCAUGUUUUGUCUUUCUGCAUUACUGCAAUAAUUAUGUUUUUGAACAUGUUUAUCUGGCUAAAAGUUCUAAAGAGAAAAAUAUUUGUUGUAUUUCAGGAAAAGUCCAAAUGUAAUUGCUUAUUUCAGCUUGAUGUAAAAUCUGACUAUGAACUGUACAAAUGUUAGCCAUUAAUAUUUAGGCUAAUAUGUAGACUAUUUAAAGCACCACAAACCCAUAUUGACACUGAACAAUCACACCUCAGGUUUAAAAAAAAGGCUCAAUAAAUGUUCCAAAUGAUAAUUUUCAUACUAAAGCCCUACCCAUUAUCCAGCAUGCUUUGUAACGUUGGGGGCAUGCUUAAAGAUAAGUCUUACAUGUUUGUAUGGAAAUUUGCAUUGUGUUACAAAUCACUUUCACCACGUUUUGUAAUUAUGCCACAUUAAUGGGUGUCUGACAAUAAUUAUUUUUGU